UGCAAUAUCUCUGUGCUUUGUAAGUAACUUGAGAAACAUAACAAGCUUGGUAGAUAGCGUUUUCUUUAAUGUGUUAAUGUAUUAGCACCUCUGUUUUGAUAUAUAAGAACAGAAAACAGUUUGCUUUUGAAGAAGGUGGAAGAGCUACAGAAAGCCCUUGAGAAAGUCUCUGUCGUGUAGCUUGGCCUCAUCUGUUCAUAAGAACGCAGCGAGGUUACAACUUCCCAGCACAGACCGGUGGAUGUUGCAUCAGAGUCAGCAGAUCAUCUGCCCAAGGACACUUAAGUUAUAAAGCUCCUGUUAUUAACAGUAACUGCCGGUUCUGUUGCAAAAGCAAUUAUGCUUGAGCUCUGACUCUAACAAACUACUUAGAAGGGACUGUUCUCUUUCGACCUGCAUCUCUAUCACUGCAUCUUUGCUCUCUGGGAUCCUAGCUUUUUCUUUUCCUCAAGUGAAUUCCUGGGUGGAAAAAUAAACUAAGGCUGAAUUAAUUUUAAAUUGAGAACAAGACUGCAAAGGAAGCUUUGGCAAAGGAGAUUCAAGAGAGAAAAACAGGGAUAGCAUAAGAGGACACAAGCUUCUCUAAUAGUCAUCUGGAAAGGCUUGGGCACAGUGACUUUUGGUGACCACUCUUUCUGUUUCUUCUGUAUCAUUCUGAAGGCUGGUGAGCUCGGAAAUGGGCAGAGUAACACUUUCCAGCUCCAGCACAAACCCUGCUGUAUCACAGGUGACUGUAAAGAUGACCAAGAAUCUUCAGAUAAGAG